CUCUUNGNGUAGGUCUGCUCAAGGAAAAAUUAAAUAGCCGCAACCCGUGCUAAGGUAGCAUAAUCAUUUGUCUUUUAAAUAAGGACUAGAACAAAAGAUUUUACAUUUUAAUCUAUUUUCCAUAUAUAAGAUUUCAAAUUUUUCUUAAAUGUAAAAGGACAUUUAUUACUAAGAAAGACGAUAAGACCCUAUUGAACUUAACUUCAGUUAAACUGGGGCAGUUAAUCAAUUAAUAUUUUCAAGAAAAUACAAAAUAUAUUAUCCAAUAUAAUUGAAUAAUUCAGUUACCAUAGGGAUAACAGCGUAAUUAUAUUUUAAAGCUCUCAUUUACAAUAUAGAUUGCAACCUCGAUGUUGAAUUAAUAACCUAAAUAAGGCAAGACUUAAUUAAAGGAGGUCUGUUCGACCUUUAAAAAAUUACAUGAUCUGAGUCAAAACCGGAGA
rnacentral:rRNA from 1 species